UGAAUGGUUUCUGUAGGUCAAAGGUCAUGUGAGGAGAUAGGGGCUGAAGUUUUUUCCAACGCUCUAGGAAAGCGUUUUAAGUGUCAUCCCAAUUGCUAUGUGUACUGAGCCUGGCUUCAUGUGUCUCAUAUGGCCACUAGAAGCAGCUUUCCAGUCAGCUGUGUGUCUCCAGGUGCACAAAUUGGUUGCCAUGGGGACCUUGGAUGCAUAACUAUAGCAGGAGAAAGAAGGCUUGAAGCUAAAGAAACAGGACUCCAAGUAGGCCCUGACGCUCACCCUCUGUAUAUAUUCAUAAGGAGCUUGUGAGAACACAAGACUCUGCUGAACACAUUAAUACAAUUUAUUAUCACAAUCCUCAGAACACCCCAUAAUAUCUUCAAUGAGCUGAAUUUUUGAAGCCCAGAAUGGUUUCUGUAGCUCAAAGUUUGUGGGUGGAGAUAGGUGGUGAAGCAGACACAUAUUAACUGUGUGUACAAGCAGCUGAACUGCAAGGUGGACCUCAAAAAGCAACAAGUACAAGAAUGUGUGUGCGUGUGUGUGUGUGUGUGUCGUUAAUGACUGCAUCCUAAACAGCUGUGAGAUCAAAGGCAAAUCACUAACCAACUGUUUGACUGAGAGGUGCUGAACUGCAGUGAAUUUCAGCCUGUGAACUUCUUCACAUAGCGUGAUUUCCUUAAGUCCCAGAAUGAAAAUAAGAACAUCGUACGAAUCCUCCGUCCUUCAUGAACACAAUGAUGUGUUUUUCAUGUCUGUACUUCGAAAAAUGAGGCCACAACAGCGAGUUAAAAAAGUCUGAGCCUGAGCGAUGAUCCGGAUUUUCCUGGAGAAAAAUAACAUUAUGGUCAAUGGGAGAGAUUUCCGCCUUUUUUGGACAGUUGGUCACCUGCUGGCCAAGGGGUAGGAUUUAAUGAUUUGAAACCUCUUUUGUGAGAAGCAGGACACAUAUACCUCCAUUUUGAUGUAUUAUUUGUGUCAGUGGAGUGAGAUUUGUGGGCGUGGGAGCGAUAUAUUCGAGCGAGGUUCUGUCGAUCAGAGACGAGGUCUGCACUCUAGCUGAUGACAUCAUCACUCUAAACUCUCCAAUACACACCCAUUAUAAAGCUUGAAAUUUGCUGAAAACCACAAGUUGCUUAAAGCUAAAUUGUGGAAAAACUGUAAAAGAUAUCAAAAAACUGAGUACAACUUUAAUAGUCGACAAGUGAAUGAACAUUUUAAAGCAAAAAUUAGGUCUCUAGGUGAAAGUAUGCUGAAGUUAAAAGGUCUAGAAGGUGGAAGAGGAAAAGGUAGAUUUUAAGAUUUCCCCAUUCAUUUUUAAUGGUACAAAUUUUGCACAAAAAGUUAAAAAAAACAAAAAGUAUAAAGGGUAGAAAGGAAAAAAAUAGACGCCAUAAUGUCCUGAAUGAGUGGAAUAGUUUAAAGUUUGAACGGUUGAAAUCGGACAAAGUUUGAAGGAGGAGAAGCGGUCCAAAAAUCGGCGGAAGAAUAAUAAUAAGUUUAAUAAAGAAACAGGAGAAUAACAAUAAGUGGAAAUGCUUAAUCAGCAUUUCCACUUAAUAAAGAAACGGGAGAAUAACAAUAAGUGGAAAUGCUUAAUCAGCAUUUCCACUUAACUAGAAAAAUUGCAUUUCCUUGCAGAAAAUGCGUGGAAAUGCUGAGUGCUGAAAGCUGAAAAAGCAAUGCUAAACUGCUAAUAAAACAAGGAGAAAGGUAUAAAUGUUAAGGCUGUUGAAGGAGUGAAAAAGAAAUAUAGGUUGGACAAUUGUUUAAUUGGUUGAAGGACAAAUAGUAUGAAUAUGCUCUAUAAAAGGAAAUUUUAUUCAUGCUGAAAGAGGCUAGAAAAAUGUCUAAAAUUGCACAAAGUUUGAAUGAAAAAGGAAAUUGCCUUAAAAGGCAGGAAGGUGAGAAGUGGAAUAAGUUUAAGUUUUUAUGUAUUAGAAAGGUUUGAAUCAGUUUGAAUCAGUUUAAAUUAGUUAGAAAAAUUAAAUGAUAAAUCAUCACCGAGUGACUUAUAAAAGUGAAAAAUUUAAAUGAAUAUAAAUCUGAAUACACUCCAUAGUGUCCUCAAUGAGCUUAAAUUUUAAAGUCCUGAAUGGUUUCUGUAGGUCAAAGGUCAUGUGAGGACAUAGGGGCUGACGUUUUUUCAAACGCUCUAGGAAAGGGUUUUAAGUGUCAUCCCCAGUGCUAUGUGUACUGAGCUUGGCUUCAUGUGUCUCAUAUGGCCAUUAGAAGCAGCUUUCCAGUCAGCUGUGUGUCUCCAGGUGCACUAAUUGGUUGCCAUGGGGAUGAUAGAUGCAUCAGUACAGCAGGAGAAAGGAGGCUUGAAGCUAAGAAACAAAUGCUCUAACGCACUCACAUAGUUACUGUGUACAUGCAGUUGUCAUAGGCAGAGACACACGCACACACAUUGUCAGACUGUGUGUGAGUGUGUCUCGUUAAUGAUGGCCUACUCUUUGAAUGAGAAGCAGCUGAACUGCAGUGAAUUUACGGCCUCUGAACUUCUUCACAUAGCGUGAUUUCCUUAAAUCCCAGAAUCAAAAUAAGAACAUUGUACGAAUCCUCCGCCCUUCAUGAACACAAUGAUGUGUUUUUCAUGUCUGUACUCCAAAAAAUGUGGCCACAACAGCGAGUUAAAAAAGUCUGAGCCUGAGUGACGAUCAGGAUUUUAUUGGAGAAAAAUUACAUUAGGGCUAAUGGGAGAGAUCUCCGCCUAUUUGGACAGUUGGUCACCUGCUGGCCAAGGGGUAUGAUUUAAUGAUUUGAAACCUCUUUUGUGAGAAGCAGGACACAUAUACCUCCAUUUUGAUGUAUUUUUUAUGGCUGUGGAGUGAAAUUUGUGGGCGUGGGAGCGAUAUAUUCGAGUGAGGUUCUGUCGAUCAGAGACGAGGUCUGCACUCUAGCUGAUGACAUCAUCACUCUAAACUCUCCAAUACACACCCAUUAUAAAGCCUGAAAAUUUGCUGAAAACCAUGAGGUGCAUAAAGCUAAAUUGUGGAAAAACUGUAGGAGAUAGCACAAAAAAGUCAAUACAGCAUAUUUAGAGGAGAAGAUUGUGAACAUUUUAAAGCAAAAAUGAGGUCUGUAGGUGAAAGUAUGCUGAAGUUAUAAGGCUGAGAAGGUGAAGGAGUAAAAGGUAGAAUUUGAAGAUUUCCCCAUUCAUUUCAAUGGGAAAAAUUUUGCACAAAAAGUCAAAAAUAUCAAAAAGUAUAAGGGGUAGAAAAGUAAAAAAUAGACCCCUUAAUGUCCUGAAGGAGUGGAAUAGUUUAAAGUUUGAACGGUUGAAAUCGGACAAAGUUUGAAGGAGGAGAAGCGUUGCAAAAAAGGGACGGAAGAAUAAUAAUAAUAAUAAUAAUAACUAGAAAAAUUGCAUUUCCUUGCAGAAAAUGCGUGGAAAUGCUGAGUGCUGAAAGCUGAAAAAGCAAUGCUAAACUGCUAAUAAAACAUGGAGAAAGGUAUAAAUGUUAAGGCUGUUGAAGGAGUGAAAAAGAAAUAUAGGUUGGACAAUUGUUUAAUUGGUUGAAGGACAAAUAGUAUGAAUAUGCUCUAUAAAAGGAAAUUUUAUUCAUGCUGAAAGAGGCUAGAAAAAUGUCUAAAAUUGCACAAAGUUUGAAUGAAAAAGGAAAUUGCCUUAAAAGGCAGGAAGGUGAGAAGUGGAAUAAGUUUAAGUUUUUAUGUAUUAGAAAGGUUUGAAUCAGUUUGAAUCAGUUUAAAUUAGUUAGAAAAAUUAAAUGAUAAAUCAUCACCGAGUGACUUAUAAAAGUGAAAAAUUUAAAUGAAUAUAAAUCUGAAUACACUCCAUAGUGUCCUCAAUGAGCUUAAAUUUUAAAGUCCUGAAUGGUUUCUGUAGGUCAAAGGUCAUGUGAGGACAUAGGGGCUGACGUUUUUCAAACGCUCUAGGAAAGGGUUUUAAGUGUCAUCCCCAGUGCUAUGUGUACUGAGCUUGGCUUCAUGUGUCUCAUAUGGCCAUUAGAAGCAGCUUUCCAGUCAGCUGUGUGUCUCCAGGUGCACUAAUUGGUUGCCAUGGGGAUGAUAGAUGCAUCAGUACAGCAGGAGAAAGGAGGCUUGAAGCUAAGAAACAAAUGCUCUAACGCACUCACAUAGUUACUGUGUACAUGCAGUUGUCAUAGGCAGAGACACACGCACACACAUUGUCAGACUGUGUGUGAGUGUGUCUCGUUAAUGAUGGCCUACUCUUUGAAUGAGAAGCAGCUGAACUGCAGUGAAUUUACGGCCUCUGAACUUCUUCACAUAGCGUGAUUUCCUUAAAUCCCAGAAUCAAAAUAAGAAUAUUGUACGAAUCCUCCGCCCUUCAUGAACACAAUGAUGUGUUUUUCAUGUCUGUACUCCAAAAAAUGUGGCCACAACAGCGUUAAAAAAGUCUGAGCCUGAGUGACGAUCAGGAUUUUAUUGGAGAAAAAUUACAUUAGGGCUAAUGGGAGAGAUCUCCGCCUAUUUGGACAGUUGGUCACCUGCUGGCCAAGGGGUAUGAUUUAAUGAUUUGAAACCUCUUUUGUGAGAAGCAGGACACAUAUACCUCCAUUUUGAUGUAUUUUUUAUGGCUGUGGAGUGAAAUUUGUGGGCGUGGGAGCGAUAUAUUCGAGUGAGGUUCUGUCGAUCAGAGACGAGGUCUGCACUCUAGCUGAUGACAUCAUCACUCUAAACUCUCCAAUACACACCCAUUAUAAAGCCUGAAAAUUUGCUGAAAACCAUGAGGUGCAUAAAGCUAAAUUGUGGAAAAACUGUAGGAGAUAGCACAAAAAAGUCAAUACAGCAUAUUUAGAGGAGAAGAUUGUGAACAUUUUAAAGCAAAAAUGAGGUCUGUAGGUGAAAGUAUGCUGAAGUUAUAAGGCUGAGAAGGUGAAGGAGUAAAAGGUAGAAUUUGAAGAUUUCCCCAUUCAUUUCAAUGGGAAAAAUUUUGCACAAAAAGUCAAAAAUAUCAAAAAGUAUAAGGGGUAGAAAAGUAAAAAAUAGACCCCUUAAUGUCCUGAAGGAGUGGAAUAGUUUAAAGUUUGAACGGUUGAAAUCGGACAAAGUUUGAAGGAGGAGAAGCGUUGCAAAAAAGGGACGGAAGAAUAAUAAUAAUAAUAAUAAUAAUAACUAGAAAAUUGCAUUUCCUUGCAGAAAAUGCGUGGAAAUGCUGAAUGCUGAAAGCUGAAAAAGCAAUGCAAAACUGCCAUUAAGAAAUGGAGGGAGGUAUGAACGGAAAAACUGUUGAAAAGGUGGAGUAGAAGAAGAAAUUGUAUGAAUGGAAGCAUUGUAGUAUAGCUGAAGGUUAAUUAGUUGGAUUAAUGUACAAAUUGUCUGAUAGCCUAAGUGAAAAACGUAUAUGAUUGAUGUGAAUAAACAGAACUGAUAAUAAGGAUAAUUGAAUUUGAAAAACAAAUGUCUUAAAAUAAUGUGUAACAAUGUUCCUAUUAAAUGUACAAAUAGUAAAACAGAUUUUUGCAGUCUGCAGCAUCAAACCAUAGUAACUUGAGAAUGCAGAACAGCGCCAUCUAUUGCCUUGCUUCAGUUACUGCCCUACAUCUGAAUGUAGAAAGUAUGAAACAGCUGAAGUUAAAUUAUCUGUAUAAAUGUAGAAAGUACUGAGAAGAAAAGCAGAAGUAGAAGAAAAAGAAGAAGUUAGUAUGUUAAAAGAUGUAAAGACAAAGGCUGUAACAACAAAGUUAAUAUUGGGGGUGUAUUUUCUACUGACAGAGAGACAGUAAUGCACACAUGGAAACAGUGUGUGUGUGUGUGUGUGUGUGUGUGUGUGUGUGUGUGUGUGUGUGCCCGCGCGGGGUCGGCCGCGCGCGUGCGUGUGUGAUCGAAGCACACAGCCCAUGACAAGUGCAGAAUCUCUGGCUCCUAAGGAAUUUACUCACCUUCUGGGCAAACUGUACAAUUUCAUGACUUCAGACCUAUUUUGUGAGAAGCAGGACGAGUGUACCUCCAUUUUGAUGUGUUUUUUAUGGCUGUGGAGUGAGAAUUGCGGCCGCGGCAGCAAAAUAAACACGCUUGGUCUAGUGAAUCCAAAAGGCUCCGCACGCAUCUAGUGAUGACGUCACACGCUGUAGCGUGAGUCAGGCUGAAAAAGGCAGAAAACUUCAUGUUGCUCCAAGCGAAAUUGUGCAAAAACGGUAGGAAAUAGCAAAAGGGAGUGAAUACAACAUUUGUAGCAGACACGUUGCUGAACAUUUUAAAGCAAAAAUGAGGUCUGUAGGUGAAAGUAUGCAGAAGUUAUAAGGGUGAGAAGGUGUUAUAGCUGUAUCUCCAUUCAUUUCUAAUGGAACAAAUUUUGCAGAAAAAGUGAAAUAUUGCAAAAAGUAUAAAUGGUAGAAAGGUGAAAAGUACUAGCAAUAAUGUCCUGAAGGAGUGCAUUAGUAUAAAGUUUGAAUGGUUGAAAUAGCACAAAGUGGUAAGGAGUUGAAAAGGGCCAAAAAAGGUACGGAAGAAUAAUAAUAAAAAUAAUAAUAAUAACUAGAAAAAUUGCAUUUCCUUGCAGAAAAUGCGUGGAAAUGCUGAGUGCUGAAAGCUGAAAAAGCAAUGCAAAACUGCCAAUAAAAAAUGGAGGAAGGUAUAAACGGAAAAACUGUAGAAAAGGUGGAGUAGAAGAAGAAGAAAUUGUAUGAAUGGAAGAAUUGUAGUAUAGCUGGAGGUAAAUUAGUUGGAUUAAUGUACAAAUUGUCUGAUAGCCUAAGUGAAAAAUGUAUAUGAUUGAUGUGAAUAAACAGAACUGACAUGGAUAAUUGAAUUUGAAAAACAAAUGCCUUUAAACAAUGUGUAACAAUGUUCCUAUUAAAUGUACAAAUAGUAAAACAGAUUUUUGCAGUCUGCAGCAUCCAACCAUAGUAACUUGAGAAUGCAGAACAGCACCAUCUAUUGCCCUGCUUCAGUUACUGCCCUACAUCUGAAUGCAGAAAGUAUGAAACAGCUGAAGUUAAAUUAAUUGUAUGAAUGUAGAAAGUAUAGAAAAGAAAAGCAGAAGUAGAAGAAAAAGAAGAAGUUAGUAUGUUAAAAGAGUUAAAGACAAGAACUGUAACAACAAAGUUCAUAUUGGGGCUGUAUUUUCUACUGACAGAGAGACAGUAUUGCACACAUGGAAACAGUGUGUGUGUGUGUGUGUGUGUGUGUGUGUGUGUGUGUGUGUGUGUGUGCCCGCGCGCGCGCGCGGCCGAGCCCGUGCGUGUGCAUAUGCGUGUGUGAUCGAAGCACACAGCCCAUGACAAGUGCAGAAUCUGACAGAGACAGUAAGAGAGAAAGAGAGACAGUACUGCACUCAUGGAAACAGUGUGUGUGUAUGUGUGUGUGCCCGCGCGCGCACGAGCGGCCAAGUCCGUGCGUGUGCGAUCGAAGCACACAGCCCAUGACAAGUGCAGAAUCUGACAGAGAGAUAGUAAGAGAGACAAUAAUGCACUCAUGGAAACAGUGUGUGUGUGUGUGUGUGUGUGUGUGUGUGUGUGUGUGUGUGUGUGUGUGUGUGUGUGUGUGUGUGCCCGCGCGCGCACGAGCGGCCGAGUCCGUGCGUGUGCAUGUGCGUGUGCGAUCGAAGCACACAGCCCAUGACAAGUGCAGAAUCUCUGGCUCUGAAGGAAUGUACUCACCUCCUGGGCAAGCUGUACAAUUUCAUGACUUCAGACCGAUUUUGUGAGAAGCAGGACGAGUGUACCUCCAUUUUGAUGUGUUUUUUAUGGCUGUGGAGUGAAAAUUGCGGCCGCAGCAGCAAAAUAAUCAUGCUUGGUCUAGUGAAUCCAAAAGGCCCCGCCCGCAUCUAGUGAUGACGUAACACGCUGUAGCGUGAGUCAGGCUGAAAGAGGGAGAAAACUUCAUGUUGCUCCAAGCGAAAUUGUGCAAAAACGGUAGGAAAUAGCAAAAAGGAGUGAAUACAACAUUUGUAGCAGACACGUUGCUGAACAUUUUAAAGCAAAAAUGAGGUCUGUAGGUGAAAGUAUGCAGAAGUUAUAAGGGUGAGAAGGUGUUAUAGCUGUAUCUCCAUUCAUUUGUAAUGGAACAAAUUUUGCAGAAAAAGUGAAAUAUUGCAAAAAGUAUAAAUGGUAGAAAGGUGAAAAGUAAUAGCCGUAAUGUCCUGAAGGAGUGCAUUAGUAUAAAGUUUGAAUGGUGAAAAUAGCACAAAGUGGUGAGGAGUUGAAAAGGGCCAAAAAAGGUACGGAAGAAUAAUAAUAACUAGAAAAAUUGCAUUUCCUUGCAGAAAAUGCGUGGAAAUGCUGAGUGCUGAAAGCUGAAAAAGCAAUGCUAAACUGCUAAUAAAACAUGGAGAAAGGUAUAAAUGUUAAAGCUGUUGAAGGGGUGAAAAAGAAAUAUAAGUUGGAUAAUUGUUUAAUUGGUUGAAGGACAAAUAGUAUGAAUAUGCUCUAUAAAAGGAAAUUUUAUUCAUGCUGAAAGAGGCUAGAAAAAUGUCUCAAAUUGCACAAAGUUUGAAUGAAGAAGGAAAUUGCCUUAAAAGGCAGGAAGGUGAGAGGUGGCAUAAGUUUAAGUUGUAGUACUAGAAGUAGUAUGAUAAGAGGUCAAGUCGUGAUACUAGUAGUCAUGUCAGCAGUAGAAGUAGUUUGAGAAUAAAAGAAGUAUAAGUCAAAGUAGAGAAAGUAGAAAUAGGAGCAAUAGCAGUUGAAGUAGAGGGGAAAGUACUAGUUUAAUUGACAUUAGCAGUAGUUCUAGUACUUGAGGUAUGAUUUUGUUUGAAGGAUGGAAUAAUGCAUAAAUAUUAAAACUAAUUUAAAACAGGGAAAUUUUAAAUUAUCAAAAGUCCUCAAGUAUCAGAAAGUUUUGAAGUAUUAGAAAGGUUUGAAUCAGUUUGAAUGAGUUUAAAUUAGUUUGAAAAAUUAAAUGAUAAAUCAUCACUGACUGACUUUUAAAAUGUGAAAAAUUUAAAUGAAUAACAAUCCUAAAUACACCCAAUAAUGUCCUCAAUGAGCUUAAAUUUCAAAGCCCUGAAUGGUUUCUGUAGGUCAAAGGUCAUGUGAGGAGAUUGGGGCUGAAGUUUUUUCCAACGCUCUAGGAAAGGGUUUUAAGUGUCAUCCCAAUUGCUAUGUGUACUGAGCCUGGCUUCAUGUGUCUCAUAUGGCCACUAGAAGCAGCUUUCCAGUCAGCUGUGUGUCUCCAGGUGCACUAAUUGGUUGCCAUGGGGACCUUGGAUGCAUAACUAUAGCAGGAGAAAGAAGGCCUUGAAGCUAAAGAAACAGGACUCCAAGUAGGCCCUGACGCUCACCCUCUGUAUUAAUGUGUUCAGCAGAGUCUUGUGUUCUCACAAGCUCCUUAUGAAUAUAUACAAUUUAUUAUCACAAUCCUCAAAACACCCCAUAAUAUCUUCAAUGAGCUGAAUUUUUCAAGCCCAGAAUGGUUUCUGUAGCUCAAAGUUUGUGGGUGGAGAUAGGUGGUGAAGCAGACACAUAUUAACUGUGUGUACAAGCAGCUGAACUGCAAGGUGGACCUCAAAAAGCAACAAGUACAAGAAUGUGUGUGCGUGUGUGUGUGUGUCUCGUUAAUGACUGCAUCCUAAACAGCUGUGAGAUCAAAGGCAAAUCACUAACCUACUGUUUGACUGAGAGGUGCUGAACUGCAGUGAAUUUCAGCCUGUGAACUUCUUCACAUAGCGUGAUUUCCUUAAGUCCCAGAAUGAAAAUAAGAACAUCGUACGAAUCCUCCGUCCUUCAUGAACACAAUGAUGUGUUUUUCAUGUCUGUACUUCGAAAAAUGUGGCCACAACAGCGAGUUAAAAAAGUCUGAGCCUGAGUGGGGAUAAGGAUUUUCUUGGAGAAGAAAUACAUUAGGUCUAAUGGGGAGAGAUUUCCACCUAUUUGGACAGUUGGUCACCUGCUGGCCAAGGGGUAGGAUUUAAUGAUUUGAAACCUCUUUUGUGAGAAGCAGGACACAUAUACCUCCAUUUUGAUGUAUUAUUUGUGUCAGUGGAGUGAGAUUUGUGGGCGUGGGAGCGAUAUAUUCGAGCGAGGUUCUGUCGAUCAGAGACGAGGUCUGCACUCUAGCUGAUGACAUCAUCACUCUAAACUCUCCAAUACACACCCAUUAUAAAGCUUGAAAUUUGCUGAAAACCACAAGUUGCUUAAAGCUAAAUUGUGGAAAAACUGUAAGAGAUAUCAAAAAACUGAGUACAACUGUAAUAGUCGACAAGUGAAUGAACAUUUUAAAGCAAAAAUGAGGUCUCUAGGUGAAAGUAUGCUGAAGUUAUAAGGUCUAGAAGGUGGAAGAAUAAAAGGAAGGAGUGGAAGAUUUCCCCAUUGACUUCAAUGUUAAAAUUUUUGCACAAAAAGUUAAAAAAAACAAAAAGUAUAAAAGGUAGAAAGGUAAAAAAUACAAGCACACAUGUCCUGAAGGAGUGGAAUAGUUAAAAGUUUGAACGGUUGAAAUCGGACAAAGUUUGAAGGAGGAGAAGCGGUCCAAAGAAACGUAUGGGGAGAGUGUUAAGUAUAAUACUAGAAAAAUUGCAUUUCCUUGCAGAAAAUGCGUGGAAAUGCUGAGUGCUGAAAGCUGAAAAAGCAAUGCUAAACUGCUAAUAAAACAUAGAGAAAUGUAUAAAUGUUAAAGCUGUUGAAGGGGUGUAAAAGAAAUGUAAGUUGGAUAAUUGAUUAAUUGGUUGAAGGACAAAUAGUAUGAAUAUGCUCUAUAAAAUGAAAUUUUAUUCAUGCUGAAAGAGGCUAGAAAAAUGUCUAAAAUUGCACAAAGUUUGAAUGAAGAAGGAAAUUGCCUUAAAAGGCAGGAAGGUGAGAAGUGGCAUAAGUUUAAUUUUUUAUGUAUUAGAAAGGUUUGAAUCAGUUUGAAUCAGUUCAAAUUAGUUUGAAAAAUUAAAUGAUAAAUCAUCACUGAGUGACUUUAAAAUGUGAAAAAUUUAAAUGAAUAUAAAUCCUGAAUACACCCCAUAAUGUCCUCAUUGAGCUUAAAUUUUAAAGCCCUGAAUGGUUUCUGUAGGUCAAAGGUCAUGUGAGGAGAUAGGGGCUGAAGUUUUUUCAAGCGCUCUAGGAAAGGGUUUUAAGUGUCAUCCCCAGUGCUAUGUGUACUGAGCCUGGCUUCAUGUGUCUCAUAUGGCCAUUAGAAGCAGCUUUCCAGUCAGCUGUGUGUCUCCAGGUGCACAAGUUGGUUGCCAUGGGGACCUUGGAUGCAUAACUAUAGCAGGAGAAAGAAGGCUUGAAGCUAAGGAAACAGGACUCCAAGUAGGCCCUGACGCUCAUCCUCUGUAUCUAUUCCUGAUAAGGAGCUUGUGAGAACACAAGACUCUGCUGAACACAUUAAUACAAUUUAUUAUCACAAUCCUCAAAACACCCCAUAAUAUCUUCAAUGAGCUGAAUUUUUGAAGCCCAGAAUGGUUUCUGUAGCUCAAAGUUUGUGGGUGGAGAUAGGUGGUGAAGCAGACACAUAUUAACUGUGUGUACAAGCAGCUGAACUGCAAGGUGGACCUCAAAAAGCAACAAGUACAAGAAUGUGUGUGUGUGUGUGUGUGUGUGUGUCUCGUUAAUGACUGCAUCCUAAACAGCUGUGAGAUCAAAGGCAAAUCACUAACCUACUGUUUGACUGAGAGGUGCUGAACUGCAGUGAAUUUCAGCCUGUGAACUUCUUCACAUAGCGUGAUUUCCUUAAGUCCCAGAAUGAAAAUAAGAACAUCGUACGAAUCCUCCGUCCUUCAUGAACACAAUGAUGUCUUUUUCAUGUCUGUACUUCGAAAAAUGUGGCCACAACAGCGAGUUAAAAAAGUCUGAGCCUGAGUGGGGAUAAGGAUUUUCUUGGAGAAGAAAUACAUUAGGUCUAAUGGGGAGAGAUUUCCGCCUAUUUGGACAGUUGGUCACCUGCUGGCCAAGGGGUAGGAUUUAAUGAUUUGAAACCUCUUUUGUGAGAAGCAGGACACAUAUACCUCCAUUUUUAUGUAUUUUUUAUGGCUGUGGAGUGAGAUUUGUGGGCGUGGGAGCGAUAUAUUUGAGCGAGGUUCUGUCGAUCAGAGACGAGGUCUGCACUCUAGCUUUUCAAAUCAUCACUCUAGCCUCUCCAAUACACCCCUAUUAUAAAGCCUGAAAUUUGCUGAAAACCACAAGUUGCAUAAAGCUAAAUUGUGGAAAAACUGUAAAAGAUAGCACAAAGAGGUUAAUACAACAUCAAUAGUCGACAAGACAAUGAACAUUUUAAAGCAAAAAUGAGGUCUCUAGGUGAAAGUAUGCUGAAGUUAUAAGGUCUAGAAGGUGGACGAAUAACAGGAAGAAUUGAAAGAUUUCCCCAUUCAUUUCUAUGGGAAAAAAAGUUUGGCACAAAAAGUGAAAAAUAAUAAAAAGUAUAAAGGGUAGAAAAAAGAAAAGUAAUAGCCAUCAUGUCCUGAAGGAGUGGAAUCGUUUAAAGUUUGAACGGUUGAAAUCGGACAAAGUUUGAAGGAGGAGAAGCGGUCCAAAGAAACGUAUGGGGAGAGUGUUAAGUAUAAUACUAGAAAAAUUGCAUUUCCUUGCAGAAAAUGCGUGGAAAUGCUGAGUGCUGAAAGCUAACAAAGCAAUGCUAAACUGCUAAUAAAACAUGGAGAAAGGUAUAAAUGUUAAAGCUGUUGAAGGGGUGAACAGAAAUAUAAGUUGGAUAAUUGAUUAAUUGGUUGAAGGACAAAUACUAUGAAUAUGCUCUAUAAAAGGAAAUUUUAUUCAUGCUGAAAGAGGCUAGAAAAAUGUCUCAAAUUGCACAAAGUUUGAAUGAAGAAGGAAAUUGCCUUAAAAGGCAGGAAGGUGAGAAGUGGCAUAAGUUUAAAUUGUAGUACUAGAAGUAGCAUGAUAAGAAGUCAAGUCGUGAUACUAGUAGUCAUGUCAGCAGUAGAAGUAGAUUGAGAAUAAAAGAAGUAUAAGUCAAAGUAGUAAAGAAAGUAGAAAUAGGAGCAAUAGCAGUUGAAGUAGAGGGGAAAGUUCUAGUUUAAUUGACAUUAGGAGUAGUUGUCGUACUUGAGGUAGGAUUUUGUUUGAAUGAUGGAGUAAUGCAUAAAUAUUAAAACUAAUUUAAAACAGGGAAAUUUUAAAUUAUCAAAAGUCCUCAAGUAUCAGAAAGUUUUGAAGUAUUAGAAAGGUUUGAAUCAGUUUGAAUGAGUUUAAAUUAGUUUGAAAAAUUAAAUGAUAAAUCAUCACUGACUGACUUUUAAAAUGUGAAAAAUUUAAAUGAAUAACAAUCCUAAAUACACCCAAUAAUGUCCUCAAUGAGCUUAAAUUUCAAAGCCCUGAAUGGUUUCUGUAGGUCAAAGGUCAUGUGAGGAGAUAGGGGCUGAAGUUUUUUCCAACGCUCUAGGAAAGGGUUUUAAGUGUCAUCCCAAUUGCUAUGUGUACUGAGCCUGGCUUCAUGUGUCUCAUAUGGCCACUAGAAGCAGCUUUCCAGUCAGCUGUGUGUCUCCAGGUGCACAAAUUGGUUGCCAUGGGGACCUUGGAUGCAUAACUAUAGCAGGAGAAAGAAGGCUUGAAGCUAAGGAAACAGGACUCCAAGUAGGCCCUGACGCUCACCCUCUGUAUAUAUUCAUAAGGAGCUUGUGAGAACACAAGACUCUGCUGAACACAUUAAUACAAUUUAUUAUCACAAUCCUCAAAACACCCCAUAUUAUCUUCAAUGAGCUGAAUUUUUGAAGCCCAGAAUGGUUUCUGUAGCUCAAAGUUUGUGGGUGGAGAUAGGUGGUGAAGCAGACACAUAUUAACUGUGUGUACAAGCAGCUGAACUGCAAGGUGGACCUCAAAAAGCAACAAGUACAAGAAGGUGUGUGUGCGUGUGUGUGUGUGUGUGUCUCGUUAAUGACUGCAUCCUAAACAGCUGUGAGAUCAAAGGCAAAUCACUAACCUACUGUUUGACUGAGAGGUGCUGAACUGCAGUGAAUUUCAGCCUGUGAACUUCUUCACAUAGCGUGAUUUCCUUAAGUCCCAGAAUGAAUAUAAGAACAUCGUACGAAUCCUCCGCCCUUCAUGAACACAAUGAUGUGUUUUUCAUGUCUGUACUCCGAAAAAUGAGGCCACAACAGCGAGUUAAAAAAGUCUGAGCCUCAGUGGCGAUAAGGAUUUUCUUGGAGAAGAAAUACAUUAGGUCUAAUGGGGAGAGUUUUUCGCUAUUUGGACAGUUGGUCACCUGCUGGCCAAGGGGUAAGAUUUAAUGAUUUGAAACCUCUUUUGUGAGAAGCAGGACACAUAUACCUCCAUUUUGAUGUAUUUUUUAUGGGUGUGGAGUGAGAUUUGUGGGCAUGGGAGCGAAAUAUUCGAGCGAGGUUCUGUUGAUCAGAGAGGAGGUCUGCACUCUAGCUUUUCAAAUCAUCACUCUAGCCUCUCCAAUACACCCCUAUUAUAAAGCCUGAAAUUUGCUGAAAACCACAAGUUGCAUAAAGCUAAAUUGUGGAAAAACUCUAAAAGAUAUCACAAAAAGGUUAAUACAAUAUCAAUAGUCGACAAGACAAUGAACAUUUUAAAGCAAAAAUGAGGUCUGUAGGUGAAAGUAUGCUGAAGUUAUAAGGCUUAGAAGGUGGACGAAUAACAGGAAGAAUUGAAAGAUUUCCCCAUUCAUUUCUAUGGGAAAAAAAGUUUGGCACAAAAAGUGAAAAAUAAUAAAAAGUAUAAAGGGUAGAAAAGAGAAAAGUAAUAGCCAUCAUGUCCUGAUGGAGCGGAAUAGUUUAAAGUUUGAACGGUUGAAAUCGGACAAAGUUUGAAGGAGGAGAAGCGGUCCAAAGAAACAUAUGGGGAGAGUGUUAAGUAUAAUACUAGAAAAAUUGCAUUUCCUUGCAGAAAAUGCGUGGAAAUGCUGAGUGCUGAAAGCUGAAAAAGCAAUGCUAAACUGCUAAUAAAACAUGGAGAAAGGUAUAAAUGUUAAAGCUGUUGAAGGGAUGAGAAAGAAAUGUAAGUUGGAUAAUUGAUUAAUUGGUUGAAGGACAAAUAGUAUGAAUAUGCUCUAUAAAAAGAAAUUUUAUUCAUGCUGAAAGAGGCUAGAAAAAUGUCUAAAAUUGCACAAAGUUUGAAUGAAGAAGGAAAUUGCCUUAAAAGGCAGGAAGGUGGGAAGUGGCAUCAGUUUAAUUUUUUAAGUAUUAGAAAGGUUUGAAUCAGUUUGAAUCAGUUCAAAUUAGUUUGAAAAAUUAAAUGAUAAAUCAUCACUGAGUAACUUUUAAAUGUGAAAAAUCUAAAUGAAUAUAAAUCCUAAAUACACCCCAUAAUGUCCUCAAUGAGCUUAAAUUUUAAAGCCCUGAAUGGUUUCUGUAGGUCAAAGGUCAUGUGAGGAGAUAGGGGCUGAAGUUUUUUCAAGCGCUCUAGGAAAGGGUUUUAAGUGUCAUCCCCAGUGCUAUGUGUACUAAGCCUGGCUUCAUGUGUCUCAUAUGGCCAUUAGAAGCAGCUUUCCAGUCAGCUGUGUGUCUCCAGGUGCACAAAUUAGUUGCCAUGGGGACCUUGGAUGCAUAACUAUAGCAGGAGAAAGAAGGCUUGAAGCUAAGGAAACAGGGCUCCAAGUAGGCCCUGGCACUCAUCGUCUGUAUAUAUUCAU